GUCUCGUUGGCCUAAUGGUAGGGUGUCUCCGCGCAAAGGAGAAGCUUGUGAGUUCGAUCCCCACACGGGGUA
rnacentral:tRNA from 1 species